UAGGGUGGUUUUAGCAGAGGGGCUCACCUGUUCCCAUUCCGAACACAGAAGUUAAGCCCUCUAGCGCCGAUGGUACUGCGCAAGCGGGAGAGUAGGUCGCCGCCAGUU
rnacentral:rRNA from 1 species